GCGGGUGUAGCUCAGGUGGUUAGAGCGCCGGCCUGUCACGCCGGAGGUCGCGGGUUCGAGCCCCGUCACUCGCGCCA
rnacentral:tRNA from 1 species